rnacentral:misc_RNA from 1 species
GAUGAAGAACGUAGCGAAAUGCGAUAACUAGUGUGAAUUGCAGAAUUCCGUGAAUCAUCGAGUCUUUGAACGCACAUUGCGCCCCCUGGUAUUCCGGGGGGCAUGCCUGUCCGAGCGUCAUUGCUGCCCAUCAAGCAUGGCUUGUGUGUUGGGUCGUCGUCCCCCCCUCCGGGGGGGGACGGGCCCUAAAGGCAGCGGCGGCACCGCGUCCGAUCCUCGAGCGUAUGGGGCUUUGUCACCCGCUCUGUAGGCCCGGCCGGCGCUUGCCGAACGCAAAACAACCAUUCUUUCCAGGUUGACCUCGGAUCAGGUAGGGAUACCCGCUGAACUUAAGCAUAUCAAUAAGCGGAGGA